UACGUAGGGCGCAAGCGUUAUCCGGAAUUAUUGGGCGUAAAGAGCUCGUAGGCGGUUUGUCGCGUCUGCUGUGAAAACUCGGGGCUUAACCCCGGGCCUGCAGUGGGUACGGGCAGACUAGAGUGCGGUAGGGGAGACUGGAAUUCCUGGUGUAGCGGUGAAAUGCGCAGAUAUCAGGAGGAACACCGGUGGCGAAGGCGGUUCUCUGGGCCUGUACUGACGCUGAGGAACGAAAGCGUGGGGAGCGAACAGG
rnacentral:rRNA from 1 species